rnacentral:rRNA from 1 species
UACGUAGGGUGCAGGCGUUAAUCGGAAUUACUGGGCGUAAAGGGUGCGCAGGCGGUCCUGCAAGUCAGGCGUGAAAUCCCCGGGCUUAACCUGGGAAUGGCACUUGAAACUACGGGACUGGAGUAUGGCAGAGGGAGGUGGAAUUCCACGUGUAGCGGUGAAAUGCGUAGAGAUGUGGAGGAACACCGAUGGCGAAGGCAGCCUCCUGGGCCAAUACUGACGCUCAUGCACGAAAGCGUGGGGAGCAAACAGG